rnacentral:rRNA from 1 species
CCUACGGGUGACAGCAGUGGGGAAUAUUGCACAAUGGGGGAAACCCUGAUGCAGCGACGCCGCGUGAGUGAAGAAGUAUUUCGGUACGUAAAGCUCUAUCAGCAGGGAAGAAAAUGACGGUACCUGACUAAGAAGCCCCGGCUAACUACGUGCCAGCAGCCGCGGUAAUACGUAGGGGGCAAGCGUUAUCCGGAUUUACUGGGUGUAAAGGGAGCGUAGGCGGCAGCGCAAGUCUGGAGUGAAAUCCCAUGGCUUAACCAUGGAACUGCCUUGGAAACUGUGCAGCUAGAGUGCAGGAGAGGUAAGCGGAAUUCCUAGUGUAGCGGUGAAAUGCGUAGAUAUUAGGAGGAACACCAGGGGCGAAGGCGGCUUACUGGACUGUAACUGACGUUGAGGCUCGAAAGCGUGGGGAGCAAACAGGAUUAGAUACCCCAGUAGUC